rnacentral:rRNA from 1 species
UCCUGGCUCAGAACGAACGCUGGCAGCGUGGAUUAGGCAUGCAAGUCGAACGGGAAGUCCGACUUCAACUCUUCGGAGGAGAAGACGGGAUGGAGAGUGGCGAAAGGGUGAGUAUCGCGUGGGCAAUCUACCUCUAAGUGCGGAAUAACCUGGCGAAAGUCGGGCUAAUGCCGCAUGUGGUUUUCCGGCGCCUGUCGGAAGGACUAAAGGCGGGGAUCUUCGGACCUGCCGCUCAGAGAGGAGCCCGCGUCCGAUUAGCUAGUUGGUGAGGUAACGGCUCACCAAGGCGACGAUCGGUAGCCGGCCUGAGAGGGUGACCGGCCACACUGGGACUGAGACACUGCCCAGACUCCUACGGGAGGCUGCAGUCGAGGAUCAUUUGCAAUGCGCGAAAGCGUGACAAUGCGACGCUGCGUGGAGGACGAAGGCCUUCGGGUUGUAAACUCCUGUCAUGCGGGAACAAUACCCCGCCGUUAAUAGCGGCGGGAUUGAUGGUACCGCAAGAGGAAGCGACGGCUAGCUUCGUGCCAGCAGCCGCGGUAAUACGAAGGUCGCUAGCGUUGUUCGGAUUUACUGGGCGUAAAGGGUGCGCAGGUGGUGCCGUGUGUCGGACGUGAAAUCCCGGGGCUCAACCCCGGAACUGCAUCCGAAACUGCGGCACUCGAGUACAGGAUGGGAGAGCGGAAUUCAAGGUGUAGCGGUGAAAUGCGUUGAUAUCUUGAAGAACACCGGUGGCGAAGGCGGCUCUCUGGAAUGUUACUGACACUGAGGCACGAAAGCGUAGGGAGCAAACCAGGAUUCGAUACCCUGGUAGUCUACGCCGUAGACGUUGCGUACUUGGCGUGGGAGGACUUAGCCCCUUCCGUGCCGGAGCUAACGCGUUAAGUACGCCGCCUGGGGA